UACGGAGGGUGCAAGCGUUGCUCGGAAUUACUGGGCGUAAAGGGUGUGUAGGCGGAUACUUAAGUCGGGGGUGAAAGCCCAGGGCUCAACCCUGGAAUAGCCUUCGAUACUGGGUAUCUUGAGUUCGGGAGAGGUAAGUGGAACUCCGAGUGUAGAGGUGAAAUUCGUAGAUAUUCGGAAGAACACCAGUGGCGAAGGCGACUUACUGGCCCGAUACUGACGCUGAAACACGAAAGCGUGGGGAGCAAACAGG
rnacentral:rRNA from 1 species